GAUGAACGCUGACAGAAUGCUUAACACAUGCAAGUCAACUUGAACUUCGGUUUGGGUGGCGGACGGGUGAGUAACGCGUAAAGAACUUGCCUCACAGUUAGGGACAACAUUUGGAAACGAAUGCUAAUACCUGAUAUUAUGAUUUUAGGGCAUCCUAGAAUUAUGAAAGCUAUAUGCGCUGUGAGAGAGCUUUGCGUCCCAUUAGCUAGUUGGAGAGGUAACGGCUCACCAAGGCGAUGAUGGGUAGCCGGCCUGAGAGGGUGAACGGCCACAAGGGGACUGAGACACGGCCCUUACUCCUACGGGAGGCAGCAGUGGGGAAUAUUGGACAAUGGACCAAGAGUCUGAACCAGCAAUUCUGUGUGCACGAUGAAGUUUUUCGGAAUGUAAAGUGCUUUCAGUUGGGAAGAAAAAAAUGACGGUACCAACAGAAGAAGUGACGGCUAAAUACGUG
rnacentral:rRNA from 1 species